AGUGAAUAGAUACCCCUGGUAGUCCACGCCGUAAACGACUGGGUGCUAGUUGUCCGGGCAGCUUGCGUGUUCGGUGACGCAGCUAAACGCAUUAAGCACCCCGCCUGGGGAGUACGGUCGCAAGAUUAAAAACUCAAAGGAAUUGACGGGGGCCCGGCACAAGCGGUGGAGCAUGUGGUUUAAUUCGACGCAACGCGCAGAACCUUACCAACCCUUGACAUCCCGGUCGCGCUUUCCAGAGAUGGAUCGCUUCAGUUCGGCUGGACCGGAGACAGGUGUUGCGAUGGCUGUCGUCAGCUCGUGUCGUGAGAUGUUGGGUUAAAGUUCCCGCAACGAGCGCAACCUCGCCUUAGUUGCCAUCAUAAGUUGGGCACUCUAGA
rnacentral:rRNA from 1 species